UAGUCCACGCCGUAAACGAUGUUCACUCGCUGUCUGCGAUACACAGUAGGCGGCUGAGCGAAAGCAUUAAGUGAACCACCUGGGGAGUACGAUCGCAAGGUUGAAACUCAAAGGAAUUGACGGGGGCCCGCACAAGCGGAGGAACAUGUGGUUUAAUUCGAUGAUACGCGAGGAACCUUACCUGGACUUAAAUGUAGAUUGACGUAUUCAGAGAUGAAUAUUUCUUCGGACAAUUUACAAGGUGCUGCAUGGUUGUCGUCAGCUCGUGCCGUGAGGUGUCGGGUUAAGUCCCAUAACGAGCGCAACCCCUGUUGUUAGUUACCAGCAUGUAAUGGUGGGGACUCUAACAAGACUGCCGGUGUAAACCGCGAGGAAGUGGGGAUGACGUCAAAUCAGCACGGCCCUUACGUCCAGGGCUACACACGUGUUACAAUGGCCGGUACAGAGGGCAGCUACUAGGUGACUAGAUGCGAAUCUCAAAACCGGUCUCAGUUCGGAUCG
rnacentral:rRNA from 1 species